rnacentral:rRNA from 1 species
GGACGAACGCUGGCGGCGUGCCUAAUACAUGCAAGUUGAACGCAACAAAGACACCAGAGCUUGCUCUACCGUCUUUGUUGAGUAGCGAACGGGUGAGUAACGCGUGGGUAACCUGCCUUAUAGCGGGGGAUAACUAUUGGAAACGAUAGCUAAUACCGCAUAACAAUAGAGAUUGCAUAAUCUUUAUUUGAAAGUGCCAACUGGUACACUAUGAGAUGGACCCGCGUUGUAUUAGCUAGUUGGUAGUGUAAUGGACUACCAAGGCGAUGAUACAUAGCCGACCUGAGAGGGUGAUCGGCCACAUUGGGACUGAGACACGGCCCAAACUCCUACGGGAGGCAGCAGUAGGGAAUCUUCGGCAAUGGACGAAAGUCUGACCGAGCAACGCCGCGUGAGUGAAGAAGGUUUUCGGAUCGUAAAACUCUGUUGUUAGAGAAGAAUGUUGAUUAGAGUGGAAAAUUAAUCAAGUGACGGUAUCUAACCAGAAAGGGACGGCUAACUACGUG